UACGUAGGGUGCAAGCGUUGUCCGGAAUUAUUGGGCGUAAAGAGCUCGUAGGCGGUUUGUCGCGUCGGCUGUGAAAUCCCGGAGCUCAACUCCGGGCCUGCAGUCGAUACGGGCAGACUUGAGUGUUGCAGGGGAGACUGGAAUUCCUGGUGUAGCGGUGAAAUGCGCAGAUAUCAGGAGGAACACCGGUGGCGAAGGCGGGUCUCUGGACAGUUCCUGACACUGAGACACGAAGGCCAGGGGAGCAAACGGG
rnacentral:rRNA from 1 species